rnacentral:rRNA from 1 species
ACGGGGUGCAGCAGGCGCGAAAACUUUACAAUGCGGGAAACCGCGAUAAGGGGACACUGAGUGCCAGCAUAUUAUGUUGGCUGUCCACAUGCAUAAAAACCAUGUGUUAGCAAGGGCCGGCCAAGACCGGUGCCAGCCGCCGCGGUAACACCGGCGGCCCGAGUGGUGAUCACUUUUAUUGGGUCUAAAGGGUCCGUAGCCGGUUUGAUCAGUCUUCUGGGAAAUCUGACAGCUCAACUGUUAGGCUUUCAGGGGAUACUGUCAGACUUGGGACCGGGAGAGGUAAGAGGUACUACAGGGGUAGGAGUGAAAUCUUGUAAUCCCUGUGGGACCACCAGUGGCGAAGGCGUCUUACCAGAACGGGUCCGACGGUGAGGGACGAAAGCUGGGGGCACGAACCGGAUUAGAUACCCGGGUAGUCCCAGCCGUAAACGAUGUUCGCUAGGUGUCAGGGACGGUGCGACCGUUUCUGGUGCCGUAGGGAAGCCGUGAAGCGAACCACCUGGGAAGUACGGCCGCAAGGCUGAAACUUAAAGGAAUUGGCGGGGGAGCAC